rnacentral:rRNA from 1 species
ACCAGACUCCUACGGGAGGCAGCAGUGGGGGAUAUUGCACAAUGGGGGAAACCCUGAUGCAGCGACGCCGCGUGUGGGAAGACGGCCCUCUGGAUUGUAAACCACUGUCCCCAGGGACGAAGAUGACGGUACCUGACUAAGAAGCCCCGGCUAACUACGUGCCAGCAGCCGCGGUAAUACGUAGGGGGCGAGCGUUAUCCGGAUUCACUGGGUGUAAAGGGAGCGUAGACGGCCAUGCAAGCCAGGGGUGAAAGCCCGGGGCCCAACCCCGGGACUGCCCUUGGAACUGUGCGGCUAGAGUGCGGGAGGGGCAGGCGGAAUUCCUGGUGUAGCGGUGAAAUGCGUAGAUAUCAGGAGGAACACCGGCGGCGAAGGCGGCCUGCUGGACCGCGACUGACGUUGAGGCUCGAAAGCGUGGGGAGCGAACAGGAUUAGAUACCCCUGUACG